rnacentral:rRNA from 1 species
UGGUUAAGUGAAUAAGGGCGUACGGUGAAUGCCUUGGCACUAGGAGCCGAUGAAGGACGGGACGAACACCGAUAUGCUUCGGGGAGCUGUAAGUAAGCUUUGAUCCGGAGAUUUCCGAAUGGGGGAACCUCAUUGUUUUUAUCGACAAUGGUCCACUCAGUGAACACAUAGCUGAGUGGAAGGUAGACGUGGUGAACUGAAACAUCUCAGUAGCCACAGGAAGAGAAAGAAAAAUCGAUUUCCCGAGUAGCGGCGAGCGAAACGGAAAGAGGCCAAACCAGCGUGCUUGCAUGCUGGGGUUGUAGGACUGAUGGACGGGAGUGAAUGAGUUAGUCGAACGCCAUGGAAAGGGCGAUCAGAGAGGGUGACAAUCCCGUAGGCGAAAGCUCAACCACCUCAUUCAGUAUCCUGAGUACGGCGGUACACGUGAAAUUCCGUCGGAAUCCGCCAGGACCAUCUGGCAAGCCUAAAUACUCCCUAGUGACCGAUAGUGAACCAGUACCGUGAGGGAAAGGUGAAAAGCACCCCGGAAGGGGAGUGAAAGAGUACCUGAAACCGUAUGCCUACAAGCAGUCAGAGCCCGUUAAGGGGUGAUGGCGUACUUUUUGUAGAACGGACCGGCGAGUGACGAUAGCAAGCAAGGUUAAGCUGAAGAAGCGGAGCCACAGCGAAAGCGAGUCUGAAGAGGGCGUUGAGUUUGUUGUCGUCGACCCGAAACCAAGUGAUCUACUCAUGUCCAGGCUGAAGGUGUGGUAAAACACACUGGAGGGCCGAACCCACGUCUGUUGAAAAAGGCGGGGAUGAGGUGUGGGUAGCGGUGAAAUUCCAAUCGAACUUGGAGAUAGCUGGUUCUCUCCGAAAUAGCUUUAGGGCUAGCCUCGGAUGAUGACUAUUGGAGGUAGAGCACUGUUUGAUCGAGGGGUCCAUCCUGGAUUACCGACAUCUGAUAAACUCCGAAUGCCAAAUAGUUUAGUCCGGGAGUCAGACUGCGAGUGAUAAGAUCCGUAGUCGAAAGGGAAAGAGCCCAGACCACCAGCUAAGGUCCCAAAGUUUCAGUUAAGUGGAAAAGGAUGUGGGGUUGCUUAGACAACUAGGAUGUUGGCUUAGAAGCAGCCAUCAUUGAAAGAGUGCGUAAUAGCUCACUAGUCGAGUGACCCUGCGCCGAAAAUGUACCGGGGCUAAACUGAACACCGAAGCUGUGGAUCCGUAGGAUGGUAGGAGAGCGUUCUAUAGGCAGAGAAGCAUGAUCGUGAGGACAUGUGGAGCGUAUAGAAGUGAGAAUGCCGGUAUGAGUAGCGAAAGACGGGUGAGAAUCCCGUCCACCGAAUGACUAAGGUUUCCUGGGGAAGGCUCGUCCUCCCAGGGUUAGUCGGGACCUAAGCCGAGACCGAAAGGGAUAGGCGAUGGACAACAGGUUGAGAUUCCUGUACUUGUUUGAUUUGUUUGAGCGAUGGAAGGACACAGAAGGCUAAGCGGAGCGCGGAGAUGGAAAGACGCGUCCAAGCAAUGAGUGAGAAGGUGAGUGAAAGGCUUGCCUCAGACUUCAUGAGUUGUGACGGGGAGGGAAGUUUAGUACCGAAGCCGCCGACGUCACGCUGUCAAGAAAAGUUUCUAGUGAGAAUCAAACAACCCGUACCGCAAACCGACACAGGUAGUCGAGUGGAGAACACUAAGGUGAGCGAGCGAACUCUCGUUAAGGAACUCGGCAAAAUGACCCCGUAACUUCGGGAGAAGGGGUGCUGACCGCAAGGUCAGCCGCAGUGAAUAGGCCCAAGCGACUGUUUAUCAAAAACAUAGGUCUCUGCCAAAUCGAAAGAUGAUGUAUAGAGGCUGACGCCUGCCCGGUGCUGGAAGGUUAAGAGGAAGGGUUAGCGUAAGCGAAGCUCUGAAUUGAAGCCCCAGUAAACGGCGGCCGUAACUAUAACGGUCCUAAGGUAGCGAAAUUCCUUGUCAGGUAAGUUCUGACCCGCACGAAAGGCGUAACGAUUUGGGCACUGUCUCAACGAGAGGCUCGGUGAAAUUGUAGUACCAGUGAAGAUGCUGGUUACCCGCGACAGGACGGAAAGACCCCAUGGAGCUUUACUGUAGGUUGAUAUUGAAUGUUUGUGCCACAUGUACAGGAUAGGUAGGAGCCAUCGAAGUCGGGACGCUAGUCUCGAUGGAGGCACUGGUGGGAUACUACCCUUGUGGGAUGACCAUUCUAACCCGCGACCAUUAGCUGGUCGGGAGACAGUGUCAGUCAGGCAGUUUGACUGGGGCGGUCGCCUCCUAAAGUGUAACGGAGGCGCCCAAAGGUUCCCUCAGAAUGGUUGGAAAUCAUUCGCAGAGUGUAAAGGCAGAAGGGAGCUUGACUGCGAGACCUACAAGUCGAGCAGGGACGAAAGUCGGGCUUAGUGAUCCGGUGGUUCCGCAUGGAAGGGCCAUCGCUCAACGGAUAAAAGCUACCCUGGGGAUAACAGGCUUAUCUCCCCCAAGAGUUCACAUCGACGGGGAGGUUUGGCACCUCGAUGUCGGCUCAUCGCAUCCUGGGGCUGAAGUCGGUCCCAAGGGUUGGGCUGUUCGCCCAUUAAAGCGGUACGCGAGCUGGGUUCAGAACGUCGUGAGACAGUUCGGUCCCUAUCCGUCGCGGGCGUUGGAAAUUUGAGAGGAGCUGUCCUUAGUACGAGAGGACCGGGAUGGACACACCGCUGGUGUACCAGUUGUUCCACCAGGAGCAUGGCUGGGUAGCUAUGUGUGGACGGGAUAAGCGCUGAAAGCAUCUAAGCGUGAAGCCCCCCUCAAGAUGAGAUUUCCCAUACUUUAAAAGUAGUAAGCCCCCUGAAAGACGAUCAGGUUGAUAGGUUUGGAGUGGAAGCUUAGCAAUAAGUGGAGCGGACAAAUACUAAUCGGUCGAGGACUUAUCCAAA